UACGUAGGGGGCAAGCGUUGUCCGGAUUUAUUGGGCGUAAAGAGCGUGUAGGCGGCCUGACAGGUCUGCUGUGAAAACUCGAGGCUCAACCUCGAGAUGUCGGCGGAAACCGUCUGGCUAGAGUCCGGAAGAGGAGAGUGGAAUUCCUGGUGUAGCGGUGAAAUGCGUAGAUAUCGAGAGGAACACCUGCGGCGAAGGCGGGUUGCUGGGCUGACACUGACGCUGAUGCGCGAAAGCUAGGGGAGCAAACGGG
rnacentral:rRNA from 1 species